AGAAAAUUUCCAAAAGGUGCCGGGGAAUCCAUUAAGUUUGAUCACGGGCUCAAGGUGAACGCUGUGCGGCGUGCCUAAANACAUGCAAGUCGAANCGGGGCAGGUUUAUGCCUGUUCAGCGGCGGACGGGUGANUAACUCCUGGGUGACCUACCCGGGAGAGGCGGACAACCUGGGGAAACUCAAGCUAAUCCGCCAUGUGGUCCUGUUCUGUGGGGCGGGACCAAAGGGUGGAUAGCCCGCUUCCGGAUGGGCCCGCGUCCCAUCAGCUGGUUGGUGGGGUAAAGGCCCACCAAGGCGACGACGGGUAGCCGGUCUGAGAGGAUGGCCGGCCACAGGGGCACUGAUACAUUUUUUCCCACUCCUACCGGAGGCAGCAGUUAGGAAUUUUCCGCAAUGGACGGAGGUCUGACGGAGCGACGCUGCUUGGAGGAGGAAGCCCUUCGGGGUGUAAACUCUUGAACUGGGGACGAAAAGCCCUGUGUAGGGGGAUGACGGUACCCAGGUAAUAGCGCCGGNCAACUCCGUGGCCANCAAGCCGCGGUAAUACGGAAGGGCGCGAGCGUUACCCGGAUUUACUGGGGCGUAAAGGGCGUGUAAGGCGGCUUGGGGCGUCCCAUGUGAAAGGCCCCGGCUCACUUGUGUAGGAACCUGGGAAACCUCANGCUUAAAGGGGGAAAAGUGGGGAAUUCCGGAUUUCG
rnacentral:rRNA from 1 species